GUACUGCUGAGGAGUUCCACAAUAGGACGGAACGGCCGUCCAAUGC
rnacentral:hammerhead_ribozyme from 1 species